rnacentral:lncRNA from 1 species
GCGUGGAUGGGGCGUCAACUUUGGCAAGGAACUCAACUAACUGGGAGGUGACAAACUGCUACCUGGUAUCCUCACGAUCUCGGAGUUCCAUCUGUCUACACAAAGAAGCCCAGAGUCUUGUACUGUCUCUUCCUGUCUGGCUACCCCUGAUGCUGCCGUGCCUACAGUUCACUUGUGCCCUGCAGGACCCUGUAAUUAUCCUUUCCCUAUCAAGUAGAAGACCAGCCAAAGGGGGUAAGGACACCUUUUCCAAGCUGCAGGAUCACAACUGAUAUAGCAGGACUAUGAGUAUAAUCAGCCAUGGUGUUUCCAACUCACCUCAGACACUGAAGUGACUCCUCCUACUGUCAUCAAAACGUGUUCUCAAAUGGCAAUGGCAUCAUGGCAAUGCUGAGAUGGAGUCUUCAGGAUGGAGCUUUUUGAAGCCAGCACAGAUGGGUCUAAAAUUCUUGCUUGGGGCCAUAUGGAGUGGAUAAGCCGGGAGGAAAUGAUACCGGCCUCUGUUUCUGCUCAACUCUCUCCACUGGGUCAGUGGACCCUUUGAAGUAGCCCUUUCUUUACCUCAGAUUCUGACAUGAAUAACUGAUCACCUUCCAGUCUACACAAGAUAAGGAGCCGUGGCUCAAAACUGCAACUCUCUUAAGUAUAUGAGAGCCAGACCACCCAGGGCACUGUUCCAAGAAGGGAGAGAAUUUCCCACAUGUGUUCAGCAUUUUAUUCUUCCCCCAACACUUGGCUCUGUAUUACUGUGUUUAAAUUGGAUAAUGUCUACAUGAAAGGGCUAUGUCAAUGGUAUCAGUAACAAAAAAGAUGCCACCCACCUGGGGAUGUCAAGAGAGAAAAUAUAGGGUGCUAGACAAAUGGCUCUGUGGCUAAGAGCACUGGCUGCUCUUACAGACAACCAAGGUUUCGUCCCCAGCACCCACAUGGGUGCUCAAAACCAUCUGUAAUUCCAGCUCCAGGGGAUCUGGCACCCUCUCCUGGUCUCUGUUGACACUGCAAGUACACAGUGCCCAUACAUAUAUGCAAACAAACACUUUCACACAUAAAAUAAAAAUAAGGAAAGCCAGGGUGGGUUCAGAGGGAGAAUAUGAAUGAGAAUACGACAAGUCCACUCUUGAAGGUUCUGUCUGGUGUCACUUGUGGCUCUAGACUGGCCACCAAAAAUGCUCCAGGCUGCUGACUAAGAGGGCAGGUUAUAUUUAUAACCAGAGAGAAGGAAAUUAGGUGAAGAAAUUGGAUUGAGGUAGCCACUGUUUGAUUGGUCACAGAUGUGUCUGUCUUAUUUGAACUUCUUGCUGGCUGCUGGUGACAGGCCAAGGCUCUGUGAUUUGUUACAAGGUAGGUUCCACAUCACGCUAGGCUGCAGUUGAGUAUUUGUGCAGAAACCUUUGACCAAACUUAAAAAUACAACCCUGUGCUGGCUAGUUUAAUGUCAGCUAGACACAGGCUAGAGUCAUCAGGGAGGAGGGAAGCUCCAUUGAGAAGAUGCCUCCAUAAGAUCAAGCUGUAGGCAAGCCUGUUGGACAUUUUCCUAAUUCAUGAAGGAUAGCCCAGCCCAUUGUGGGUGGUGCCAUCCCUGGGCUGGUGGUCCUGGGUUCUAUAAGAAAACAGGCUGAGUAAGCCAUGAGGAGCAAGCCAGUGAGCAGCUCCCCUCCAUGGCCUCUGCAUCAGCUCCUGCCCCCAGGUUCCUGCCCUGCUUGAGUUUCUAUCCUGACUUCCUUCAGUGAUGAACAGCAAUAUGGAAGUGUAAGCUGAAUAAACCCUUUCCUCCCCAAGUUGCAUUUGGUCAUGGUGUUUCAUUACAGCAAUAGUAACCUGAACUAAGAUACAAUUCUAGGUAGCUUUAAUACAAAUGGCUUCAACUGGUAUAUCCACAGUGGAGACAAGAGCCACAUUGGGUCCCUCAAAGAUUUCCCAGAGGUGGUCCUGACGUGGGGCCCUUAGGAGCCUUUCUUGAUCUGCUUUGCCACUCUCUCAUUCUCCUGCCUCGCCUCAAAACCACUUACCUUUUUCUCUUGCUUAAUGGCUGUUUAUCAAGAUUUUGGAGAUGCUACCCAGGCUAGGGCAAAAGCCUUAUUGUAUCCCAUAUAUAUGCAUUUUCCUUUUUAAAAAUAUCUGGAAUUAGCUCAUAACCCAUUUCCAUUUUUGGAGAAGACCUUAGUGAAUCUUCCUGGUGGGAUGUUGUAUUCAGCUCCAAGUGUGUCAAGACAGGGGCUGCCACUGUUGUAGCAGCUGGGGUUACUUCCCUCCCAUGGAGCCCACAUCAGGGGCAGCAGACCCGCCUAUCUUCCUGCCUCUAUUGGCCAAACAGUGUUUUAUUCAGCAACCAAUAAGAGAAAUAUAUAUACAGAAGAACAUCCCCCAUCAGGAAGCAAGAUGAAGACUAGCUGACCACUCAGCUUCUGUGAUCACCUGACACUCAAAGUUUCAGAGGUUUAGUCCGCCGUCAUCAUGGUGGGAAACACAGUGGCGUGCAAGCAGAUAUGGCGCUAGAGAAGGGGCUGAGAGUUCUACAUCCUGAUCAGCAGGCAACAGGAAGUGAACUGUGUGCUGGAAGUAGCUUGAGCAUAGGAGAUCACAAAGCCCACCCCAUACAGUGAGACACUUCUUCCAGCAAGACCACACCUACGCCAACAAAGUUACACCUCCUAACUGUGCCACUCCCUAUGGGGGCCAUUUUCUUUCAAACCACCAUACCUGUGUUAUAUAAGAAUGUAGGCUGAACAAACCAUGAAGAGCAAGCCAGGAAACAAUGUUCCUUCGUGGUCUCUACUUGAAUUCCUGUUUCUGGGUUUCUGCUUUGGGUCCCUGUCUUUGUGUCCCUUGAUGAUGUACUAUAACCUGUAAGCUGAAAUAAACCUUGUUCCUGAAAAAUUGCUUUUGGUCAAAGUUUUAUCAUAAGAUCAGACAGCAAACUAGGACAGUGACCAGUGCUGACAAUAUAGCCCUCAAAACGUGUCCCUGCCAUUGAGUGACACAUGAUUAUCUACUUUUUUUUGUCAGGAUCGGCUAGAAUUCUGGUCAAUUUUUUGUUUAUCAGUUACUGCCUUUGACUCUUGAUAGUCCCUUAUGAUGAAGUUUUCUUCUUACUGGACCAUGUCUUCUAGUUGAUGGGCUGGGGGUUUUCUCAUCUCUUAAAUGUUCAAAAAUAUCUGAAAUUUCCCCUCAUAGUUGGAUAAUUGGG